rnacentral:rRNA from 1 species
GACGUAGGGCGCGAGCGUUGUCCGGAUUAUUGGGCGUAAAGAGCUCGUAGGUGGUUUGUCGCGUUGUUCGUGAAAACUCACAGCUCAACUGUGGGCGUGCGGGCGGAUACGGGCAGACUAGAGUACUGCAGGGGAGACUGGAAUUCCUGGUGUAGCGGUGAAUGCGCAGAUAUCAGGAGGAACACCGGUGGCGAAGGCGGGUCUCUGGGCAGUAACUGACGCUGGAGGAGCGAAAGCGUGGGGAGCGAACAGG